AUUGUAGCUAAUUAUUAAUCAACGGUUGACUGAGUGGAAGAGCCUAUAAGUUAAAUAUUUAGUCUAUGCAAUAAAUCAUUUCCAUUCCUUGUGUUUGUUCUUUUUCAGGUUUUAUGACCAUGGUCUGUCAGUGGGAGCAGCUGAGCUACAGCUACAUGUGGAAGAUUCCAACGACUCUACAGUACUCUGGAGAGUAUUGUGUAACCAGGGCAACCAGUGGUCACAGGCCACUAUUCAGCUUGGACGCCUUACUCAGCCCUUCCAUUUGUCACUAGAUAAAGUCAGUCUUGGCAUUUAUGACGGAGUCUCAGCUAUUGAUGACAUCAGAUUUGAAAAUUGUACCCUUUCUCUUCCUGCAGAGAGCUGUGAAGAGCCGGACUUUUUCUGCUGUCGACGCAGCAAGGCUUGCAUAGAAAAACUUCUGUUAUGUGAUUUGGUAGAUGAUUGUGGUGAUCAUACUGAUGAGGUUGACUGUGUACCUGAGUUCCAAUGUAACUUUGAAAAUGGAAUCUGUAACUGGGAACAAGAUUAGACGUUGAUUGGACCAGGAAGCACGGUCCAACUUCAACACUUAAUACAGGGCCAAUGAAGGCUCAUACCUUGGGCACAGCUAAAGGACACUAUCUCUACAUAGAAUCUUCGGAGCCACAGGUUUUCCAAAACAGAGCUACUUUCCUCAGCCCUGUCCUCAAUGCCACCGAUGCAGGGGGCUGCACCUUCCGCUUAUAUUACCACAUGUUUGGAAAGCAUAUUUAUAGGCUGGCCAUCUACCAGAGAGUUUGGAGUAACACAAGAGACAGCUGCUGUGGCAGAUAUUUGGGAAUCAAGGCAACAGAUGGAUGAGGAAACGCCUCAAUCUUUCCAGCAGGAAGCCUUUUCAGGCACACAGUGAGAGAGAGAGGCAGAGGCACAGGCAGAGGGAGAAGCAGGCUCCAUGC